GUUCAAGCUACUAAGGGCGCACGGUGGAUGCCCUGGCGCCAGGGGCCGAUGAAGGACGCUGCCGGCGGCGAAAGGACCGGGGAGGUGCCUAGCAACCUUCGAUCCGGUCGUCUCCGAAUGGGGCAACCCCCGGCGGGUCAUACCGCCGGAUCCCGCGCUGAAUCCAUAGGUGCGGGAGGGCCAGUCGGGGAACUGAAACAUCUCAGUACCCGGAGGAAGAGAAAUCAACCGAGAUUCCCGGAGUAGUGGCGAGCGAAACGGGAACAGCCCAAACCCGCGGCGCGUGAGAGCUCGCAGGCGUUGCGCCGCGGGGGUUGGAGGGCGUCACCGGGCCGGGCUGCGAACCGGCCGGGAAGUGACCAAUCCCCGCUCUAGCCGAACUGUCCUGGAACGGCAGGCCGUAGACGGUGAGGAGCCCGGUAGGCGAAAGGGCGGGGACUUCCUGGGUGACGUUCCUGAGUACCGCGGGACACGUGGAACCCCGCGGGAAGCUGGGGGGACCACCCUCCAAGGCUAAAUACCCCUGGCGACCGAUAGCGCACGAGUACCGUGAGGGAACGGUGAAAAGAACCCCGGGAGGGGAGUGAAAUAGAACCUGAAACCGUGUGCCUACAGACAGUCGGAGGGCUAUGCCGAUCCCUUCAGGGAUCGGAAUGCCUGACGGCGUGCCUAUUGAAGAAUGAGCCGGCGAGUUGCACCGUGUGGCGAGCUUAAGCGAGCGAAUCGCGGAGGCGGAGGGAAACCGAGUCUGAACAGGGCGCCGCUCCCGGAGGGGAGGCACGGCUUCGGCCGUGCAGUCGCACGGUGCAGACCCGAAACCGGGUGAGCUACCCAUGGCCAGGGUGAAGCGCGGUUAGCCCCGCGUGGAGGCCCGAACCCACUGGUGUUGAAAAACCAGGGGAUGAGCUGUGGGUAGGGGUGAAAUGCCAAUCGAACCCGGAGAUAGCUGGUUCUCCCCGAAAUGCAUUGAGGUGCAGCCCCGGUGCCAAGCCUCCGGGUGGUAGAGCACUGGAUGGGCUAGGGCGGGAGGACCCGUACCGAACCCAACCAAACUCCGAAUGCCCGGACGGCGUUCGUCGGGAGUGAGACGGUGGGGGAUAAGCUCCAUCGUCGAGAGGGGAACAACCCAGACCGCCAGCUAAGGUCCCCAAAUCGUGGCUAAGUGGGAAAGGAAGUGGCCUCGCUCAGACAGCCAGGAGGUUGGCUUAGAAGCAGCCAUCCUUGAAAGAGUGCGUAAUAGCUCACUGGUCGAGCGAUGCUGCGCCGAAGAUUCAACGGGGCUCAAGCCACGUACCGAAGCUGCGGGUCUCGCGUCCGCUGGGACGCGGGGCGGUAGGGGAGCGUUCCGGUGUAGGUUGAAGGCGGACCGGGAGGACCGCUGGACGACCCGGAAGUGCGAAUGCCGGCAUGAGUAGCGAAAAGGCAGGUGAGAAUCCUGCCCGCCGUAAGGCCAAGGGUUCUUACGGAAGGUUCGUCCGCGUAAGGUUAGGCGGGACCUAAGGCGAGGCCGACAGGCGUAGCCGAUGGACAGCCGGUCGACAUUCCGGCCCCGCUCGUCAGCCGUCAUGAGCCAAGGGGGGACGCAGGAGGGUAGGCCUACCGGGGGCUGGUCGUCCCGGGCCAAGCGGGUAGGCGGAGGCCCCAGGCAAAUCCGGGGCCUCAUCCAACGCCGAGACGCGAGCGCGAGCUGGGUUGCAUGCCCGGCGAAGUGGCUCAGCCCACACUGCCAAGAAAAGCCUCGUGGCCAGGCUGGCGGGCGCCCGUACCGCAAACCGACACAGGUGGCCAGGCACUCAACGUGCCAAGGCGCGCGAGAGAACCCUCGUCAAGGAACUCGGCAAAAUGACCCCGUAACUUCGGGACAAGGGGUGCCUCGGUAGGGUGAGGUGCGUCACGCACCGAGCCCGAGGAGGUCGCAGAGAAUAGGCUCAGCCGACUGUUUAACAAAAACACAGGUCUCUGCGAAGCCGUAAGGCGACGUAUAGGGGCUGACGCCUGCCCAGUGCCGGAAGGUUAAGGGGACGGGUUAGUCCGGGUUCGCCCGGGCGAAGCCCUGAACCAAAGCCCCGGUGAACGGCGGCGGUAACUAUAACCGUCCUAAGGUAGCGAAAUUCCUUGUCGGGUAAGUCGCCACUUGCCCCAUGCGAGAGAGAUCUCGCAUGCCACACCGGCUCAUAUCGGUGGAGCCCUCGGGGGGGGUUGCAAAA
rnacentral:rRNA from 1 species